AUUGAACGCUGGCGGCAUGCCUUACACAUGUGAGUCGAACGGCAGCACGGGUGCUUGCACCUGGUGGCGAGUGGCGAACGGGUGAGUAAUACAUCGGAACAUGUCCUGUAGUGGGGGAUAGCCCGGCGAAAGCCGGAUUAAUACCGCAUACGAUCUACGGAGGAAAGCGGGGGACCUUCGGGCCUCGCGCUAUCGGGUUGGCCGAUGGCUGAUUAGCUAGUUGGUGGGGUAAAGGCCUACCAAGGCGACGAUCAGUAGAUGGUCUGAGAGGACGACCAGCCACACUGGGACUGAGACACGGCCCAGACUCCUACGGGAGGCAGCAGUGGGGAAUUUUGGACAAUGGGCGAAAGCCUGAUCCAGCAAUGCCGCGUGUGUGAAGAAGGCCUUCGGGUUGUAAAGCACUUUUGUCCGGAAAGAAAUCCUUGGCUCUAAUACAGUCGGGGGAUGACGGUACCGGAAGAAUAAGCACCGGCUAACUACGUG
rnacentral:rRNA from 1 species